UUGGGUUUAUAGCUCAGUUGGGAGAGUGCUUGCCUAGCACGCACAAGGCCCUGGGUUCAAUCCCCAGCACCAAAA
rnacentral:tRNA from 1 species